rnacentral:rRNA from 1 species
AUUGAACGCUGGCGGCAGGCCUAACACAUGCAAGUCGAGCGGAGCGGCGGACGGGUGAGUAAUGUCUGGGAAACUGCCUGCUGUCGGGGGAUAACGUCCGGAAACGGGCGCUAAUACCGCCUACUAUCCGAUGAGCCUAGGUCGGAUUAGCUAGUUGGUGGGGUAAAGGCCUACCAAGGCGACGAUCCGUAACUGGUCUGAGAGGAUGAUCAGUCACACUGGAACUGAGACACGGUCCAGACUCCUACGGGAGGCAGCAGUGGGGAAUAUUGGAAAAUGGGCGAAAGCCUGAUCAAGCCAUGCCGCGUGUGUGAAGAAGGUCUUCGGAUUGUAAAGCACUUUCAGCGGGGAGGCGUUACCCGCAGAAGAAGCACCGGCUAACUCCGUGCCAGCAGCCGCGGUAAUUC